rnacentral:rRNA from 1 species
AGUGAACGCUGGCGGUAGGCCUAACACAUGCAAGUCGAACGGCAGCACAGUAGGAGCUUGCUCUUACGGGUGGCGAGUGGCGGACGGGUGAGGAAUACAUCGGAAUCUACUUUUUCGUGGGGGAUAACGUAGGGAAACUUACGCUAAUACCGCAUACGACCUACGGGUGAAAGCAGGGGAUCUUCGGACCUUGCGCGAUUGAAUGAGCCGAUGUCGGAUUAGCUAGUUGGCGGGGUAAAGGCCCACCAAGGCGACGAUCCGUAGCUGGUCUGAGAGGAUGAUCAGCCACACUGGAACUGAGACACGGUCCAGACUCCUACGGGAGGCAGCAGUGGGGAGUAUUGGACAAUGGGCGCAAGCCUGAUCCAGCCAUACCGCGUGGGUGAAGAAGGCCUUCGGGUUGUAAAGCCCUUUUGUUGGGAAAGAAAAGCAGCAGGUUAAUACCCCGCUGUUCUGACGGUACCCAAAGAAUAAGCACCGGCUAACUUCGUG